AACGAACGCUGGCGGCAUGCCUAACACAUGCAAGUCGAACGAACCCUUCGGGGUUAGUGGCGCACGGGUGCGUAACGCGUGGGGAUCUGCCCAAAGGUUCGGAAUAACUCAGAGAAAUUUGAGCUAAUACCGGAUAAUGUCUUCGGACCAAAGAUUUAUUGCCUUUGGAUGAACCCGCGUAGGAUUAGCUUGUUGGUGGGGUAAAGGACCUACCAAGGCGACGAUCCUUAGCUGGUCUGAGAGGAUGAUCAGCCACACUGGGACUGAGACACGGCCCACGACUCCUACGGGAGGGCAGCAGUGGGGAAGU
rnacentral:rRNA from 1 species